rnacentral:rRNA from 1 species
ACGGGAGGCAGCAGUGGGGAAUAUUGCACAAUGGGCGCAAGCCUGAUGCAGCAACGCCGCGUGAGCGAAGAAGGCCUUUGGGUCGUAAAGCUCUGUUGGAAGGGAAGAAACAAAUGACGGUACCUUCCAAGGAAGCCCCGGCUAACUACGUGCCAGCAGCCGCGGUAAUACGUAGGGGGCAAGCGUUAUCCGGAAUUAUUGGGCGUAAAGGGUGCGUAGGUGGUCCUGUAAGCGUGGGGUGAAAGGCAGUGGCUUAACCAUUGUAAGCCUUGCGAACUGCGGGACUUGAGUGCAGGAGAGGAAAGCGGAAUUCCUAGUGUAGCGGUGAAAUGCGUAGAUAUUAGGAGGAACACCAGUGGCGAAGGCGGCUUUCUGGACUGUAACUGACACUGAGGCACGAAAGCGUGGGGAGCAAACAGGAUUAGAUACCCUGGUA